CCUACGGGUGGCAGCAGUGGGGAAUAUUGCACAAUGGGGGAAACCCUGAUGCAGCGACGCCGCGUGAGUGAAGAAGUAAUUCGUUAUGUAAAGCUCUAUCAGCAGGGAAGAAAAUGACGGUACCUGAGUAAGAAGCCCCGGCUAACUACGUGCCAGCAGCCGCGGUAAUACGUAGGGGGCAAGCGUUAUCCGGAUUUACUGGGUGUAAAGGGAGCGUAGACGGCAGUGCAAGUCUGGAGUGAAAGGCGGGGGCACAACCCCCGGACUGCUCUGGAAACUGUACGGCUGGAGUGCAGGAGAGGAAAGCGGAAUUCCUAGUGUAGCGGUGAAAUGCGUAGAUAUUAGGAAGAACACCAGUGGCGAAGGCGGCUUUCUGGACUGAAACUGACGCUGAGGCACGAAAGCGUGGGGAGCGAACAGGAUUAGAUACCCGAGUAGUC
rnacentral:rRNA from 1 species